rnacentral:rRNA from 1 species
UACAGAGGUGGCAAGCGUUGUUCGGAAUUACUGGGCGUAAAGGGCGCGUAGGCGGUCUUGUAAGUUCCGUGUGAAAUCCCUCGGCUCAACUGAGGAACCGCACGGAAAACUGCUUGGCUUGAGUUCGGGAGAGGGAAGCGGAAUUCCGGGUGUAGCGGUGAAAUGCGUAGAUAUCCGGAGGAACACCGGUGGCGAAGGCGGCUUCCUGGACCGACACUGACGCUGAGGCGCGAAAGCUAGGGGAGCAAACGGG